rnacentral:lncRNA from 1 species
UGCACAUAGUUUUUGUUUGGUUUUUCCAACAAUGCCGUUUCUUCCUGAACCUAAGGUUUCAGGAUAAACCCAAGCCGAGACAGAACUCGCUUUGAAUAAACGUCCACAUCCUUCCAGGAGAACUAUGCAAAACGACAGGCCAUUUGAAUGGAGCUCUUUCAACAUCUUAAAAACCAACAGUCUCAAAUCCCAUCCACCCUCUUAACUCACCCUGGAACCAGACCUUCGAGGGACAGAAAAGUUGAGGUCUCUUCCAGCUCCAGCGCUUUGGAUGUGUGGGUUUCCCGAGAGUCUUCGACGAUUCGAGAUGGCGCUCUUGGCGGUUCCUCUACUACUGCUUAUCAACAUGGCGCAUGGCCUUCCCCAAGAUGACUCAAUCUGCCCCUCAGGCUCAUCUGCAUUCUUAUCCAGUUGUUUAAUCUACAUGAACCAGAACCUGAGCUGGUUUCAGGCACGGGAUAAUUGCCAGCAAGAAGACUCCGACUUGGUCUCUAUCCAGAAUGACCGGGAGGCUUUAGAGGUGGUCACGGUGAUUAGACAGUACCUGCCGGGCAUCGAGAACAUCUGGAUUGGACCAAACAACCUCACUCGGAACGAACAAUGGAAAAACCAAGAAGCUCCUAUAAACAGACCACGCUCUCUAGUACCCGACCCGAAGGGAAAGGCCCAAAGGAGUGAGAUGUGUGUGGAACUCAUGGUUUCUCAAGAACUCCCGAAAUGGAACAAUGCCAACUGUGACGAGAAGAAAACAUUCUUCUGCCAAAAGCUACCUCUCCAUCCAAAGUCUCCCGUCACAAGUAGAAGUGUAAGCCAAGUAAACAAAAAAUCAAAGGUCAGUGUGGUAACAAAGGAAAGCGAAAUGGACGUGGUCAGCAAGGAUGCCAGACGUAGCGAAGGCAAAAAGUUCACCGGAGAUGUAAAAGACAACGGAGAUGCGAAGGUUGACGUAGGUACAAAAGGUAACCAAGAACCGAGGAUUGGCGUGGACACAACCGUGAGACAUAGUUCACAAGUCUGCACUGAUCCAAAAGAAAACCAGGGUAUGAAGGUGACCAAAGAUACAAGAGAUCAUGAAGGCCUAAAGCUUAUAAAAGACACCAAAGACAAAGGAGAUUUAAAAGUCAGAGAAGAUACCAAAGAAAGUGAGCUCCCAAAUACCGGUCUAUAUGUCCAAACUGACAAAGUUUUGAAGGGUGGAAAAAAUUCAAGCAACGAUAAAGUCCAAUCUGGGGGCCAAGGGGCGAAGGAAGACGAUGAAGGAGCCAGACGUCACUGGAGAACGAAAAAUCCACAAACAGCAAAUGACAACAGCACUUUCACUAAGAACCACUCUCCGGACACGACCUUCACCUUCUUCCCCAUAGUGACCCCGCUCCUCUCCUUCCUCAUGUUUUGAACCUUCUUCCUGAAUUCAGAAGUAGGGGAAAGUCUCGCCGACUCCGCUGACAUGAGUAAACCCCACCCUACACAGGACGGAAUCGACAAAAACCUGGCAAGCCCCCCAGUUGUCCGGGGCUAAGGCAGCCCCUGAGGCCCUCUGAGUUUCAGAGGGAGAGUAACUUCUGUGUCGUCGGUUUCCAUUUUUCACUAAAGCCUUUUGACCUUAACAUCUUCCUUUCUGUAAGGAAGCUAGAUAGCCGCCCACCUCCCUCAGUGAAUUGGAAAUUCCUAGAGGGCAGGAAACAUACAUGUGCCUGGCUUCUUUAAUAAAUUCUAUCAUGAUUACUACUACUGGGAAUGGAGAAGCCUGAAGGAAAAGGGGCGAUUGAGUCUCUGCCUGAGGAAGUUUCCACCUAUCGCACUUCAAGAUUAGAAAGAAAUGAAUGUUCUCCAAGUUUAAGCCCAGAAAGGAAAUUUCCAAGUUCCCUACCGUAUCCACAGGAAGGAAAAGAAGCAUUGACUACUGGAUAGAGCACGGGCCUGGGAGUCCGAAGGAUCUGUUUUCUCCUGCUGGCUCCACCACUGGCCUGCUGUGUGACCUUGGGCAAGUCACUUCACUUUUCUGGGCCUCAGUUCCCUCAUCUGUAAAAUGAAGUUUAAGACUGUGAGUCCUGUGGGGGACAGGGACUGUGUCUAACCCAAUGACCUUGUAUCUACCCGAGUAGAACAGUGCCUGGCACAUAGUAAGCAUUUAGCAAAUGUAGUCAUUAUCAUUAUUCUUAUUAAAGUUUCAAACCAGGAGAUAUUUCAGCACUCCAGCUGGUUUCUCUUUGGUUUUUGUUUUUAUUCAGUUGUAGAGGGUUGGGGUCUGAUAGUGGCUGAUUCUAAGGGAGUAACCGCACUUUAUCCAUCCCUCUCCUGGACCCAAGUGGAAACACUAAUUAUCCAAUCCAGUUGGCCCCUCUGCUGUGACCACCCCUGGUCUGGGUAAAGUGAGGUUAUCAAGCUUCUGACUGGCAAAACUUGGCAUCAUAUACCUCUACCCUCCCAUCCUACCCUCCCAGCUCUGCCACUUGUCAGCUGUGUGACUGUGGGCAAGUCACUUAACUUCUCUGGGCCUCAGUUCCCUCAUCUGUCAAAUGGGGAUGAAGACUGUGAGGCCCCCGUGGGACAACCUGAUUCCCCUGUGUCUACCCUAGCGCUUAGAACAGUACUCUACACAUAGUAAGUGCUUAACAAAUACCAACAUUAUUAUUAUUAUUAUCAUCCUAUCUUUCCUCUGCAUCAAUUGUCCCCAACUGCCUCUUUCAUUGCCCCUAGGACACUGUGACCUUCACCUCCGCCUCGAUACCCAUCACCCCUGCGUUCCUCCUUGGAUAAUUAUCAUUAUAUAUGUUAAGAAUUUACUAUGUUUCAAGUACCACCUUUCUAAGUGAAAAGCAGCAUGACUUAGUGGAUACAGCAUGGGCCUGGGAAUCAGAAGGACCUGGGUUCUAAUUCCACUCUGCCCUAUGUCUGCUGAGUGACGUCGGGCAAGUCACUUCAUUUCUCUGGGCCUCAGUUACCUCAUCUGUAAAAAACGGGGAUUAAGAGUGUGAGCUCUUGUAUCUUGUUAUUGAUAUAUAUGUUAUUGUAUCUUGAUAUUAUCUUGUAUCUACUCCGGGGGUUAAAAUAAUGCUUGGCACAUAGUAAGCACUUUACAGGUAGCAUUAUUAAGUGCUGGAGAAGAUACAAAGUUAUCAGUUCAGACACAGUCCCUUUCUCACAUAGGUCUCACAGUCUAGGCAGGAGGGAAUAGGAUUUAAUAUCCAUUUUUACAGAGGAGGAAACUGAGGCCCAGAGAAGUGAAGUCUCUUGCCCAAGGUCACACAGCAGACAAGUUCAUUUACUCAGUUGUAUUUAUUGAGCGCUUACUGUAUGCAGACCACUGUACUAAGUGCUUGGAACGUACAAUUCGGCAACAGGUGACUCCCGGGCCUGUGCGGAUGUAAACGUCAUGUCCGCUCCAUUCUUCCCUCUCCCUACAAACUAUUUUCUUGUCAUUUGAAUCUCUGAAGGACUGUGUCUAUGAGUGUUUGGACAGAAACUAGGAAGGUAGUGAUUUUUCCAUUUAAAUGCUGAAUAAAGUAAUGUUUUGCACUGGGUGGCUGAUUUUACUGGAAGUGUUUUACUGCUGUUUCAGUCUGUCAUACAAAGCAACCCUCACCCUUUCCUUAGCUCAUCCCGUAUCCCGAAAAGAUCCUGUUGAAUGUGGUCCAAGCACUUUUUCUCAGAAUGCUGGGAAGUGUGACCUUUUACUUACUGUAUUUAUCCUUGUCCUUGUUUCUCUGGCCUGCCAAGUUUUCUGUCCAUUCCAGCUGGAAUUCAUUCACCAAAAACAUUCUAGGAGAUGACAAGCCAGGAAUCCCAAGGUCCAGCUCUGUGUCUAGUUAUGUAAGGAAGGUGCAUUAACUCUUUGAGGACCCGGACUCCACGGAGCGGAUCACCGCGACCUGGACCCCACUCUAAUCCUCA